rnacentral:lncRNA from 1 species
AGCAAGAGUCAUUGGUUAGGCUCUUUGUUAAAACUGCACAAAAAGAAGAUUCCAUUGAGCCCAUAGAGAAGAGUGAUUCUGUUAGUCAUAAUGUCAUCCUACACAAUAACCCUCCUCUUUCUUGUCUCCCUCACACCAGCCAUGAAGUUUUCAAAGGGAUUGAACUCAGGACCUUGCACUUGCGAGGCGGGUGCUGUGCCACUGAGCUAAAUCCCCAGCCCAAAGAGGUCAUAAUGAGCUCACUAGGGUCAUGAAAACUCACUCACUCCUAGAGUGAGUGAAGCCAAAGACAAAUCCAAAAGACCUGUGGAUGUCGUGGAAAUUUGAGAUCUCGUUUGCCUUGUCCUCUUCCCAAUCCUUUGAGGGGCAGCUUGGAGAGAAUUUUGAACUCACAGAAAUCCUGCAGCUCUGAGCUGAUUUUCAUGGUGGGAUGUUUUAUGCAGCAUUAAUCUUGUGUCCGAUUUCUCCUGGGUCACUGUGUGUGGACAGAACUUGCUAACCUUUCUGGCUUCAGGUGGAUGCAUGAGGCUGUGGGUUCCCAACUGCAGAUUAGAGGCAUUCAUGAGUGAGGGGUUCCUGGGGUCCUCAUUUCUGAUUUGGGGAUUGCUUGGGGGCCUUAGGGUCAAGAUGAAUUGAGGUAGAAGAAUGACUCUGCUGGACUGAAUGAAGGGAUCCCAUAGUCUAACUGUUCAGAAAAGCAUCCUAGUGGGUAGAAAGUCUGGAUUCUUUUAAGAGCAUGUUUGAGAAUAUAAUCUGAUCAAUAAGUGUGCUUGUUUAUCGUUUCACCUGCAUAAAGCCGAGAGGGAAAACAGACAUGCAGUUGCUCCAUGUUUAUAAAUCCUUAGAUUGACUCCAACAGCAGACCCAGAUGGAGGCC